rnacentral:rRNA from 1 species
AGGGCACCACCAGGAGUGGAGCCUGCGGCUUAAUUUGACUCAACACGGGGAAACUUACCCGGCCUGGACACUGGAAGGAUUGACAGAUUGAGAGCUCUUUCUUGAAUCAGUGGGUGGUGGUGCAUGGCCGUUCUUAGUUGGUGGAGCGAUUUGUCUGGUUAAUUCCGAUAACGAACGAGACUCUAGCCUAUUAAAUAGGCUCUCGGCUUUUAAACGCCGGGAGGACUUCUUAGAGGGACAGGUGGCGGUUCAGCCGCACGAAAGAGAGCAAUAACAGGUCUGUGAUGCCCUUUGUUGUCCGGGGCCGCACGCGCGCUACACUGAAGAGAUCAGCGUGCUUUACGUUCCUGCUCCGACCGGAGUGGGGAACCCAGUGAACCUUCUUCGUGAUUGGGAUAGAAGAUUGUAAUUAUUCUUCUUGAACGAGGAAUUCCCAGUAAAUGCGAGUCAUAAGCUCGCGUUGAUUACGUCCCUGCCCUUUGUACACACCGCCCGUCGCUACUACCGAUUGAACGAUUU